rnacentral:rRNA from 1 species
UACGUAGGGUGCGAGCGUUGCCCGGAUUUACUGGGCGUAAAGAGCGCGCAGGCGGUCGAGUAAGUCGAAUGUGAAAGCCCCCGGCUUAACUGGGGAGGGUCAUUCGAUACUGUUCGACUUGAAGGCAGGAGAGGGCAGCAGAAUUCCCGGUGUAGUGGUGAAAUGCGUAGAUAUCGGGAGGAAUACCAGUGGCGAAGGCGGCUGCCUGGCCUGUUCUUGACGCUGAGGCGCGAAAGCUGGGGGAGCAAACGGG